GGCUCAGCCCAUGCUCGCUGGGUGGCCGAUUGUUGACUGGUGCUCUGUGAGCUCCAAGUUUCCUGUAAACAUUAGAAAAUACAGCAUGGGUUUUGGGUGGCAGCUACUCUGGGGCAUACUGGCUGGGGAACUGGCAGAAUUCCACAGGCUGGUUUUUCUCAAGUUAACUGGUGGCUUCCUGCCAUGACAACAAGCUCAGCCCUGUGGGAAGUGGGUUUGGAUGGUGCUUCUGGAUCACCUCAGCAAAACAGCAAUGAAGUGAAUGCAACUGAUGCCUCCUCAAAAGUUUGCUACCUGCCAAGACUUUCAAGCAUGAAAAUAUCUUUAUUUUUCCCUUUUAAAAUUGAUGGGUAGGCCAUAUGGGAGAGAGGGAAAUACUGACAAAGAGGGCACCUCAAGAAAAGCAUGCCUAUAAAAAUAAUGUGACAAACAAUGAAACAACACACAAACAGUUUGACAGAUAAGAGAGCAAAGGAUCACCACACGCCCGUGAUUCUAGAGCAAGUGGUGACUUUAGUGUGUGGCUGUGCUCAUGCAUAUGGACCUUACACAACUGCAAUCAGCAUCUGCAUACCUACACCCAGUAACCUGCUUUCUCUACCUAAUAUGAUAUAAUGAGCAUUUUUCUAUAUUGCUACAUAGUCUUUAUAAUUACUUUAAAUGACUGUAUAAUAUUCCAUUCAUUAUAUCACUGCUGAAUAUUUAGGUUGCUUGUAGUUUUUCCUUUGCUCAUUUUUAUGAAUUAACAAAUGUAAAGUAUUUCACCCACUACCUUCAAAUUAUAUAUACUUGGUCGGCACUUUAUUUCCUUCCCGUUCUGCCCCUUUAUAUAAAUAAAGAAAAGUAUGAAAGAUUCAUAUA
rnacentral:lncRNA from 1 species